rnacentral:rRNA from 1 species
UACGUAGGGUGCGAGCGUUGUCCGGAAUUAUUGGGCGUAAAGAGCUUGUAGGCGGUCUGUCGCGUCUGCUGUGAAAAUCCGGGGCUCAACCCCGGACUUGCAGUGGGUACGGGGCAGACUAGAGUGUGGUAGGGGAGACUGGAAUUCCUGGUGUAGCGGUGAAAUGCGCAGAUAUCAGGAGGAACACCGAUGGCGAAGGCAGGUCUCUGGGCCACUACUG